rnacentral:rRNA from 1 species
CAGUGGCGAACGGGUGCGUAACACGUGGGCAAUCUGCCGAAAAGUGGGGGAUAGCUCGCCGAAAGGCGAAUUAAUACCGCAUGUGGUGAGGGACGACAUCUUCCUGAAUCCAAAGCCGGGGUAACCUGGCGCUUUUUGAGGAGCCCGCGGCCUAUCAGCUAGUUGGCGGGGUAACGGCCCACCAAGGCUAUGACGGGUAGCUGGUCUGAGAGGACGACCAGUCACACUGGAACUGAGACACGGUCCAGACACCUACGGGUGGCAGCAGUCGAGAAUUUUUCUCAAUGGGCGAAAGCCUGAAGGAGCGACGCCGCGUGGAGGAUGAAGGCUUUCGGGUUGUAAACUCCUGUCAUUUGAGAACAAGGUUGCGCGGUUAACUGCCGCGUAAUUGAUAGUAUCAGAAGAGGAAGGGACGGCUAACUCUGUGCCAGCAGCCGCGGUAAUACAGAGGUCCCAAGCGUUGUUCGGAUUCAUUGGGCGUAAAGGGUGCGUAGGUGGCGCCGUAAGUCGGGUGUGAAAUUUCGGAGCUUAACUCCGAAACUGCAUUCGAUACUGCGGUGCUUGAGGACUGGAGAGGAGACUGGAAUUCAUGGUGUAGCAGUGAAAUGCGUAGAGAUCAUGAGGAAGACCAGUGGCGAAGGCGGGUCUCUGGACAGUUCC